ACAGUUUCAGGAUGCAAGCUCGAGGCUUCUUGAUCCUAUGUGUUGUAUUGAGUGUUGGUCACUGGUCUUUGGGAAGCUUGGACAGAAGUGGGGCAGCCAUGGAGCUGCUGACUGGGACUGGCCUGUGGCCCGUGGUCAUAGUCACAGUCAUCUUCAUAUUACUGGUGGACAUGUUGCACCGGUGCCAGCGCUGGACUUCUUGCUGCCCACCAGACCCUGUGCCAUGGCCUGUGCUGGGUAACCUGCUGCAGGUGGACCUGGAUAACAUGCCAUAUAACUUGUACAAGGUGAGUAAAGUAGGGAAGGAUGGUAACUGAUGUCAUAGUGUCCUUAGCAGCACAUAGUGGAGGUUAAGAAACAAGUCAUACAGGGAUCUGGGCCACCAAGAAGAGACAGACUUAUCAAUUUUUUGGUGGUAGCCACUGGGACCUUCUAGAGCAAAAGUUUUGGAGGUCCAGGAGGUAAAGCAGGAUGUGACAACAAAGUUCAGUCUAGUUGGGGAGGGCAGCAAGCAUAGAGGUGACAAGUCCCUUAUGAUCUUGUCAAAGCCGAGGUCUUGAUCUGCUGGGAGGUCGAAUGCACUGAACACUGAGUGGAGAGAGGAGAUGUGACUGCUGAAUCUCUUACCACUAUGUGUUCUCUGGAUGCAUUGCCCAUCUGGAGGAAACAGAUUUUCUUCAUGUGUGAUGAAAUGCUAAGGGUCCCCAGGACAAUUUUGUGGCUCUGGCAAUGUAACAACUGGGUGGUCACAUCUACUGUGAUUCCUUUGCUGAACUUAAAAGAUAAGACACCACAGUGGUAGGCAUCCUCAGGCUGGGGAUGGAGCUUAAGAAUGAACAUUUUUCUUGGAUAUAUGAGGAAGAAGGUUUACGCACACACAUCCAUGUGCAUGCACACAAACAUACACACACACACACACACACACACACACACACACACACACAAACGGGAACCCAUAUGUGCAUGUUCAACACCUUGCCCAUGUUUGCAUAGUGAGCCAGGUUCUAUGCUACGUGGGGACGACUACUUCCUAUGUGCUCUGUCCCUCUACUUCAGCUUCACAACCGCUAUGGUGACGUGUUCAGCCUGCAGAUGGGCUGGAACCACAUGGCCGUGAUCAACGGACUGAAGGUGAUACAGGAAGUGUUGGUGACCUGUGGAGAGGACACUGCUGACCGCCCUGAAAUGCCCAUCUUUCCACACCUAGGCUAUGGGCAAAAAGCUAAAGGCAAAGGCUGUGUGGGGGCAGAGAUGGCAUCAAAGCCAGACAAGGGGGGACAGUGAGCAAAGGAAGGUCAGAUCAUGAUGCAGGUGGUAAUGUAGUUAAGCAUUGCAGCAGAAAGUCACAGAAAUCCAUUGUGGAGCCUCCUGAGCAUGGUGGAGGGUGGUAGAGACAUGUACUGGAGGAAGGGUGAGGUAUGGAGGACACCGACAAAGAAGAGAAAUGAAGGUGGGAGGGGGCACCAAAGCCAGGUGUCCUUGGUUUUACACAGAUGUGUCUGCAGGUGUGGUCCUUGCUCCUUAUGGGCCUGAGUGGAAAGAGCAGAGGUGAUUCUCUGCGUCGACCCUGUGCAACUUCAGCCUGGGCAAGAAAUCACUGGAGCAGUGGGUGAUGGAAGAGGUUGGACACCUCUUUGAUGUCUUCACUGCCCAUGCUGGUGAGUGAUGGGUGUGUAGUUCAAGUGGGGGCAGGGAGAUAUCACCAAUAUCCUGAAAUUUCCUUGCAUCUCCACACCCAGGGAGUCCCCUCAAUCCUUACCCUCUCUUGGACAAAGCCGUGUGCAAUGUGAUUGUGUCUCUCAUUUAUGCCCAUCGCUUCGAGUAUGGAGACCCUGACUUCAUCAAGAUGCUAAAAGUAUUGAAAGAGAACAUGGGAGAAAAUAUUGGCUUGUUUUCAGAGGUAGGAGCCUCAAGGGCAGCCUCUAUAGAAUUUCUAUGCUGUUCAUUUUCCCAGAGGAGGCUGUAGACAAGAGAUUUGGAAAGAACACAUCUAGAAGUGUCCACCACAGUAAUAGGAGCCUGGAGAUUGACAUACAGCAAAA
rnacentral:lncRNA from 1 species